rnacentral:rRNA from 1 species
CUGCCGGAGGCUACUGCUAUUGGAAUUCGACUAAGCCAUGCGAGUCAAGGUGUCUUCGGACGCCGGCAUACGGCUCAGUAACACGUAGGUAACCUACCCUCAGGACUGAGAUAACCCCGGGAAACUGGGGCUAAUAUAGAUAGAUAAAAGAUACUGGAAUGUUCUUUUAUCCAAAGCUUUUGCGCCUGAGGAUGGGCCUGCGCCCGAUUAGGUUGUUGGUGGGGUAAUGGCCCACCAAGCCUACGAUCGGUACGGGCAGUGGGAGCUGAAGCCCGGAGUUGGGGACUGAGACAAGGCCCCAGGCCCUACGGGGCGCAGCAGGCGCGAAACCUCUGCAAUGCGGGAAACCGUGACAGGGGGAUUCCAAGUGCUCAUGCAUUGCAUGGGCUGUUCUUUGGUCUAAGUAACCAGAGGAGUAAGGGCUGGGCAAGACCGGUGCCAGCCGCCGCGGUAAUACCGGCAGCUCAAGUGGUAGCCGCGAUUAUUGGGCCUAAAACGUUCGUAGCCGGAUAAGUAAGUCUUUGGUUAAAUCCUGCGACUUAACCGUGGGAAAUCUAGAGAUACUGCUUGUCUUGAGACCGGGAGAGGUUGGAGGUACUCCCAGGGUAGGGGUGAAAUCCUGUAAUCCUGGGGGGACCACCUGUGGCGAAGGCGUCCAACUGGAACGGGUCUGACGGUGAGGGACGAAACCUAGGGGAGCGAGCCGGAUUAGAUACCCGGGUAGUCCUAGGCGUAAAUGAUGCGAGUUAAGUGUGGGGGCAUCCACGAGAUGGCCCUGUGCUGUAGGGUAGCCGUUAAACUCGCUGCCUGGGGAGUACGGUCGCAAGGCUGAAACUUAAAGGAAUUGGCGGGGGAGCACCACAAGAGGUGGAGGCUGCGGUUCAAUUGGAUUCAACGCCGG